rnacentral:rRNA from 1 species
AGCGAACGCUGGCGGCAGGCCUAACACAUGCAAGUCGAACGGGGAAAGCUUUCGGGUGAGUACUAGUGGCGCACGGGUGAGGAACGCGUGGAUAAUCUGCCUUAGAGUGGGGGAUAACUAGUCGAAAGAUUAGCUAAUACCGCAUAAGACCACAGGAGCUGCGGCUCAAGGGGUCAAAGGUUUUUCGCUCUAAGAUGAGUCCGCGUAAGAUUAGCUAGUUGGUGAGGUAACGGCUCACCAAGGCGACGAUCUUUAACUGGUCUGAGAGGAUGACCAGUAACACUGGAACUGAGACGCGGUCCAGACUCCUACGGGAGGCAGAAGUAGGGAAUAUUGCACAAUGGAGGAAACUCUGAUGCAGCGACGCCGCGUGAGUGAUGAAGGCCUUCGGGUCGUAAAGCUCUGUCGCAGGGGAAUAACACAAUGAAGGUACCCUGUAAGAAAGGAUCGGCUAACUUCGUGCCAGCCGCCGCCGUAAUAC